rnacentral:rRNA from 1 species
UGCAGUCGAGCGGAGUGAUGGUGCUUGCACUAUCACUUAGCGGCGGACGGGUGAGUAAUGCUUAGGAAUCUGCCUAUUAGUGGGGGACAACAUUUCGAAAGGAAUGCUAAUACCGCAUACGUCCUACGGGAGAAAGCAGGGGAUCUUCGGACCUUGCGCUAAUAGAUGAGCCUAAGUCGGAUUAGCUAGUUGGUGGGGUAAAGGCCUACCAAGGCGACGAUCUGUAGCGGGUCUGAGAGGAUGAUCCGCCACACUGGGACUGAGACACGGCCCAGACUCCUACGGGAGGCAGCAGUGGGGAAUAUUGGACAAUGGGCGCAAGCCUGAUCCAGCCAUGCCGCGUGUGUGAAGAAGGCCUUAUGGUUGUAAAGCACUUUAAGCGAGGAGGAGGCUACUGAAGUUAAUACCUUCAGAUAGUGGACGUUACUCGCAGAAUAAGCACCGGCUAACUCUGUGCCAGCAGCCGCGGUAAUACAGAGGGUGCAAGCGUUAAUCGGAUUUACUGGGCGUAAAGCGCGCGUAGGCGGCUAAUUAAGUCAAAUGUGAAAUCCCCGAGCUUAACUUGGGAAUUGCAUUCGAUACUGGUUAGCUAGAGUGUGGGAGAGGAUGGUAGAAUUCCAGGUGUAGCGGUGAAAUGCGUAGAGAUCUGGAGGAAUACCGAUGGCGAAGGCAGCCAUCUGGCCUAACACUGACGCUGAGGUGCGAAAGCAUGGGGAGCAAACAGGAUUAGAUACCCUGGUAGUCCAUGCCGUAAACGAUGUCUACUAGCCGUUGGGGCCUUUGAGGCUUUAGUGGCGCAGCUAACGCGAUAAGUAGACCGCCUGGGGAGUACGGUCGCAAGACUAAAACUCAAAUGAAUUGACGGGGGCCCGCACAAGCGGUGGAGCAUGUGGUUUAAUUCGAUGCAACGCGAAGAACCUUACCUGGCCUUGACAUAGUAAGAACUUUCCAGAGAUGGAUUGGUGCCUUCGGGAACUUACAUACAGGUGCUGCAUGGCUGUCGUCAGCUCGUGUCGUGAGAUGUUGGGUUAAGUCCCGCAACGAGCGCAACCCUUUUCCUUAUUUGCCAGCGAGUAAUGUCGGGAACUUUAAGGAUACUGCCAGUGACAAA